rnacentral:lncRNA from 1 species
CUAGAUGUCAACGAUCUUUAUAAAGUUGUUUGAAGCGUCUAUGAUAAACAGAGAGCAAAUUAGAAUCCAAGGAAGUUGACAUGUCAUCACUUCAUUUUUUUGCGCCUGCGCAUAAAUCUGAGAAACGUGAGUUUGUCAUCAUUUUUAUCUAGACAUAGGAUAGGUUGUGUGAAAAUAUUACUGAUGUUUAACGUUAAAAAUGGACCAAAAGAUUAAUGCUAAACAACAUUUGACAUGUUUGAACGAACAUAAAUAGAUUAUUUACUAGGUUUUUUUAGCUUUUCGGCGUGAUUUUACCAGCCCCCCACCACGUUUUGUGGGAGCAUAAUGAACGCUAAGUACUUGGUGUUAUUUGGACAUAAAUUAUGAACUUUGUCAAAAGAAACCACAUUUGUUCCGGACCUGGAAUGCCUUCCGGACCUGGGAUCCUGCCUUCUGAUGGAGAUAAUCAAAGGCCCACGAGAAGCAGGAUAGCAUACGCCCGCUGCUCCCGGCAAUAGGUCCAGACCUCCCUCAGAAGGCAGUGCCCCGUCAGAUCCAGACAGAGGGAAAGGAGAUAAACUCAAUGACGAAGCCACUGUUGGAGUCAGCAUAGUUGGAGUCAGCACAGCCGUCGCAGACACAGGCAAUCCCAGCGAUGAAGGCGUAGGUAGAUCAGAUACCAGUGCGGCGAAGCUAUUUCUUAUGUCAAUCUGCUCCGAACUCAUUGCAGACACUCCAGUCCAUUCAGCAGCAUGCCGCUGCCUUCGGUUUCCACAACUUGUGACAUGGGACCAGCGCUGAUUGGAACAAACAUUUUGCUGUUUUUGUCUACUCCAAUACAAGAUGGAGGAGGAGAAGCAGAUGGAGAAGACUUCCUUGGCAGCCUAUGGACCUAGUCAAGGUGGACAAAAAGGAGAUGGCCACGGGUCAACAACAAGAAAGAAUGGAAGAGGAAAACAAUUUAUAAGCCACGGCUACAAGACAGCUCAUCCAAGAGCGACGUCGAUCACCUCCUUGACCCAAGACUGCCAGCGUCCGUCCACUCAGGACAGCUUGUCCGAGAGCGACGUCGAUCGCCGUGUGACCCCAGACCGCCACCAUCUGUCCAUUCAAGUAUGGCUUGGCCAGGAUCGAACAACCAACCAUAUGACUUCAAAACAAAAACUCUUACCACAAGACUACAGGGGAGACAACGCAGGUGGAGACAACACAGAUGGACAAGGAAGGGACAUCAUCAAUCAAGUCGGAGGACAAGGAGGGGGAGAAAAGGCUAAAUGCAAACAUUACUGAAGAUGAGUCUCUGAUCUCAAUACUCUGCUAUGCUCUAAGACACACAACCACCAAGAUAGCUCUCAGUGAUUUAUUGGACAUUAUACAGUACAUCUCCAUUGUCCAGAACUGACAAAAUGUGUUCCCAACAGUCACUACUAGUUUAUUAAGUAUUUUGACUGUAAUGACACUUUUGAAAUGCACUAUAUUUGUUCAACAUGCCAGUAUUUAUUUGGCAGUGAAGUGCCAGAUCAUUGCUCAUCAUGUGUUUGCCUCCCUGGGGAUAUGCCGUCUCUUGUCAAGAGUGGAUCAGUGUUCAUGAAAUUGUCAAUCAAAAAACAACUAGAGGAAAAGUUAUUAGACUGCAAAUUCUGCGAAGCGUUAGAAUAUAAGUAUUCUAGGUCCAAUAGCAGCCCAGAUAAUAUAGAUGACAUUAAUGAUGGUGCACUAUACAAGUCAAUAGAUGCCCUUAAUGACACUGAUUUCAUUCGUAUUUCACAUGUGGAUGGGGUUCCAAUAUUCAAGCCCUCUCCCUUUCACAUCUAGCCCCUACAAGUCACAGUUUAUGAAUUUCCCCCGAACCUAAGAGCAAAGCACAUUAUUCUUGUGGGGUUGUGGUUUGGGUCAAAUAAAUUAAUUAUUUCCUUCAGUCGUUUGUGGAUUAGUGUCUUUCACUUGAGGGCGAAGGCUUGACAUGCCAGUUGAGAAGGACACCCACAAAUGUAUGUGUGUACAGUUUACUAUGUAUUUGUGAUUCCCCUGCUCGCUGCAAAGUACAGAAUAUCAAACAAUUCAAUGGUGAACAUGGGUGCAACUGGUGCUAUCACAGAGGAGAAGUGGUAGAAAAAGGGUAAUGGGUUCACUGGAGUGUAUCCGUUUGAGAGUGAGCCAAUGCCACUCACAGACACUAAACACCGAAUAAAGGUUGCCUUGGUGGUAGAGUCAGGGAACAUCAUACAUGGUGUUAAGGGCCCAUCUCCUUUAAUGUUCCUUACUGUUUUCAACAUGAUUGCAGGGUUUGCUUUUGAUUACAUGCAUGGCAUCUUACUUGGGUUAUGUUGGCAAAUGACUACACUGUGGUUUGAGUCCAAAUAUCACCCUGAGUCCUGGUACAUUGGAAGAGAAAUAGAGUGCAUAAACAAAAGAUCGCUUGCCAUAAAACCAACACGCUCAAUUAAUUUACUCAAAUAUUGGAAAGCCACAGAGUUCUGACACUUCCUGCUGUUCUAUAGCCUCCCCUGUUUUAAUGGGAUUUUACCCAGGCAGUACUUACACCAUUUAGUGCUACUGGUGCAGGGUACCUAUUGUCUUCCGAAAGACACGGUUACCUCUCAUAACAUUGAUAUGACUGAGAUGUUCUUUCGAGAAUUUGUUAUUAGGUUUGAACAAUUGUAUGGGAAAUGUCAUGUCAGCUACAAUGUCCAUAUACAUUUGCAUGCACCUACAUGUGUCUGAAACUGGGGGCCUUUGUGGGCUCAAAGUGCAUUCAUCUUUGAAAGUAGUAAUGGGAGACUUGUGGAAAUGUUCACCAUCUACCGACACAUCCCGAGACUACUCACUAUUACAUUCAGCACAGAUUCAAAUCAAGCUAGCAAAAGGUUUGUUGAAGAAAUGUUAAGGGGCUACAGAAUCGCCAAUAAAUGUGAAAAAAAAGAAGAGUGUAUUUUUACUAGGGUAUCCUGUUGCACGGAGCCCUACAUCAAGGGAGGCUGUUCUCCUCGGAGAGUCAGACGUUACUUACAAAGAACCAUGUCAAUUUCACCAUAGAACGAUUGUUAUUGGGAAUCACAUUCAUUCCAAAACAGCAAAUACCUUAUAGAAACGAGUAAACCAUGUAGUGGUCACCCAACAUGGGUCACUGGGGAUGGUCAGUUCUUUUGUUGACGUUGGCAGUGAAGUGGACUACGCUUUUAUAGACCCAGUGAUGACAACAAGUUGCACAGUAAGAGACCUAGAGACAGGAGGCACUGCCUCUGGGAUUCUUAAAGAGAUUGGCAUUUCAAAUGAGGUUCAGUUAAUCAAAUGCACAGACAUCUGUACCACCUGUGUUCAUCUGGAAGACAUCCCAGAUGUACAAAGGAAUUACAUCUGUUUACAGCCCAACAAAUGGGAGGUAAACUGAGAAAGGGUUGAACCGCUUAACGUAACUGUAUACAACGUUUUUUACAUUGUGUUUAUUUAUUCAGAGUAUGUAUGAAUGAAGGUGAUUCUUAAACUGGCAGCAUGAUAUAUAAAUGCAUUAUUACACUGACAUUACAUUGACUGAACUGUGGGCCUACUGAAACCAUUAUCAUUUGCAUUGGUAUCUAUCAAAUAAAUAUAGCAUACACUAUAUUUAUUGCAUGUGGACAUUGUAAUUUCUUACGUUUCUCAUCUGCUGAGUUUAAAUGUCUGAUAUUGCACUAUAUUUCAAACAUUUCUCUGGAUCAUACUGUAUCUCAAAUCCUGUAGUUAACUUGAAAUUGCCAUAUCCUGCAGGAAUAUAAAAAUCCUGCAGGAUUCCUGCAGGAAUUGUUAUGUUUCUGCAGGAUUUUCAACAUUUCUGCAGGACAAGUGGGCGUCAGGGACUUUUCCUGCAGUAUUUUGUCAACCCUACCGGAUUGCUGCAGGACACCUACACAAUUCCUUCACAAAUGGUUGAAUUCCAGCAAGGGUUUCAGGACUUUUUUAAAAUCAUCAUUAGUGUCUCAUCAUACAGCCUUAAAAUGUAUUACAAAUCUAAACUUAAAGCUCAACAUUUGUAUCACAACUAAAGUUACAUAAAUAAAUCUCAAUUAAGCAUAUAGGAAAACCUGUUUCUUUGUUAACCGCUCAACACAGAAUAGCCGCAUGUGCGCACUUCCUCAAAUAGUUUGGAGACAAUAUCCUUUCUAUUUUAUUCAGCUAUGUUCAGUUGUGUUCUUCAUACUAUAAUAUACUAUAAAAUAAAGCCACGGAAUUCUAAGCAAAUCUUGUCUGCUAAAUGAACUAGUGUAGCUACAGCCAUAUGGCAUAGCCAGACCAGGGCCUAAGAUAAGGACAACUCAGAGUAUUGUCACGUCCUGACCAGUAAAAGGGGUUAUUUGUUAUUGUAGUUUGGUCAGGACGUGGCAGGGGUGUGUUUGUUUAGUGUGUUUCAGGGUUUUUGGUUUAUGUUUUCUAUUUCUAUGUGGGUUUUCUAGUUUGUCUAUUUCUAUGUUAGUUUUGGGAACGACCUCCAAUUAAAAGCAGCUGGUUGUCGUUGCUUCUAAUUGGAGGCCAUAUUUAAGUGGGUUUAUUUUCCUCUUGUGUUUGUGGGUGGUUGUUCCAUGUAUAGUCUUAGUACCUUACAGGACUGUUUUUUUUGUUGUUGUUGUUCAGUGUUCAUUUCUUUAAUAAAUCAAGAAGAUGAUUCACAUCCCCGCUGCAGUUUGGUCC